rnacentral:rRNA from 1 species
ACGGGAGGCAGCAGUGGGGAGUAUUGCACAAUGGAGGAAACUCUGAUGCAGCAACGCCGCGUGAGUGAAGAAGUAUUUCGGUAUGUAAAGCUCUAUCGAUGGGGAAUAAAAUGAAGGUACCCAAGUAAGAAGCCCCGGCUAACUACGUGCCAGCAGCCGCGGUAAUACGUAGGGGGCAAGCGUUAUCCGGAUUUACUGGGUGUAAAGGGAGCGUAGACGGAAUAGCAAGUUUGAAGUGAAAACCCUGGGCUUAACCCAGGACUUGCUUUGAAAACUGCUGUUCUAGAGUACUGGAGGGGUAUGGGAAUUCCUAGUGUAGUAGUAAAAUGCGUAGAUAUUAGGAAGAACACCGGAGGCGAAGGCGCCAUACUGGACAGAUACUGACGUUGAGGCUCGAAAGCGUGGGGAGCAAACAGGAUUAGAUACCCUGGUA